UACGAAGGGUGCAAGCGUUACUCGGAAUUACUGGGCGUAAAGCGUGCGUAGGUGGUUUGUUAAGUCUGUUGUGAAAGCCCCGGGCUCAACCUGGGAAUGGCAAUGGAUACUGGCAAGCUAGAGUGCGGUAGAGGGUAGUGGAAUUCCCGGUGUAGCGGUGAAAUGCGUAGAGAUCGGGAGGAACACCAGUGGCGAAGGCGGCUACCUGGACCAGCACUGACACUGAGACACGAAAGCGUGGGGAGCAAACAGG
rnacentral:rRNA from 1 species